ACUACGGGUGGCAGCAGUGGGGAAUAUUGCACAAUGGGGGAAACCCUGAUGCAGCGACGCCGCGUGAGUGAAGAAGUUUUUCGGUUUGUAAAGCUCUAUCAGCAGGGACGAAAAUGACGGUACCUGCUUAAGAAGCCCCGGCUAACUACGUGCCAGCAGCCGCGGUAAUACGUAGGGGGCAAGCGUUAUCCGGAUUUACUGGGUGUAAAGGGAGCGUAGACGGCAGCACAAGACUGGAGUGAAAUGCCGGGGCUUAACCCCGGAACUGCUUUGGAAACUGUGCAGCUAGAGUGCAGGAGAGGUAAGUGGAAUUCCUAGUGUAGCGGUGAAAUGCGUAGAUAUUAGGAGGAACACCAGUGGCGAAGGCGGCUUACUGGACUGUAACUGACGUUGAGGCUCGAAAGCGUGGGGAGCAAACAGGAUUAGAUACCCGUGUAGUC
rnacentral:rRNA from 1 species